CUUUUCCUCCUUUCUUUUCUUUCCCUCACCCUCUGGCCCUCCCUUGUCCCUUGAUCUGAUUUUGACAAGAUCGAGACCUCUGGUCUCCAGAUCGCGACCAAAAAGUCGUGAUCAGAGAUCUCGAUCUAGAGGGUGAGGGGGAAAGGAGGAGGAGGAGGGCGGGAUGGUGGCGGUGGUGAAUAGUGGUGAUUGUAGUAAGAGAUGUUUCGCGUUCCUUCCUGCAAAAUACGGGGGACUAGGCAUGGCUGAAGAGGAGAUUUAGGUCUCCAGGAAAACACUUGACCGUGUUGUUUCACUCUUUUAAGGCUGUGGAUGGUUUAUUGAGAGAAUUGUUGGAAUGUGUGUAGAAUUAAAAUUGAAUUCUACAAAAAAUUUUACUCAAAAUUCUGUAAAAUCCAAUUUUAUUGCCCACACAAACUCCAAGCCUCUCCAAAAACCAGAAACAGCAGCAAAUGUUCUAUGUAUCUUUCGUGCUUGUGAGGUGAUGGAUGCCAAGCACGCACACCUGUUUCAAAGACUAGGGAAGGCUGGCUGUGCAUUCCCACCUCAAGUUUAUUAGUAUUGCUGCUUUGUGUACUUUUGAUCAUGGAUUUGGAUACAAUAAUCACGUGGAAUGAAAUUCAUGAACUUUCCAGUUUAUUAUCAUGUGUUUAGCAAAGGCAUUAUGUAAAG